rnacentral:lncRNA from 1 species
AGGGAGCAGGAGCAGGUGACAGGCUGGAGGCUGAUGGAGGCUCUUUCUUAGGCCCAGGAGGGAGGGGUGACCCCUGAAAUGGGGAGGUUUUUCCCAGGUCCCUGCUCCUGCAGGAGCUCCCUCCCUCUGAGGUUCCAGUGGGAGGGUCUCAAAUGUCUGUGGGUACAAUCUCCGGGGCUGUGGGUGGGGAUCUGUGAGCCCACCCUCUUCCCUGUGUGGUAGAGUAAUGUGCUCUGAAUGCCUGGGUUUGGUAGAAGGUUGUGCAGGGGGAUAUGGUCUGUCUUCUUGUACAGAAGAGAGAUGCUGAGAACCAGCUCAGCCAAGAAUCACGAGGGAAAGCUCAGCAGAAAGAGACUGAAUGAUGUGGUUGGAGUGAGAGUCAUGGACAAAUGGGUGGGCAAGAGCCCUUGCAGAAGCUGGGAACAAGCCUGGGAAAGGAGCGGUCUCUUCACCAGGGGGGCUUCUCCAGCUUUAAAAGGUAAUGCAGCUGGAGUGACUGAUGGGAUGGAUGUGAAGACUAAGAUGAAGAGACCCCAGGAGAGUGGGACACUGAGACUCCCCAGGAGGGCAGUUGGCUGCCCCAGGAAGGAGGGCAGGUCCCCCAGCCUGCAGCUUACACACAGUGGGGGUCCCUGGUCCUGUUGGGAGACCGCUAAGGCUUCUCAGGCCAGCAGCCUGUGCAGGUCUGAGCUGUGGCUGGAGGUGCCGGCCAGCUUGUGUUGCACUGAGUGCCUCGGGGAGGCGGCGGCCGUGGUUGAAUAAGGGCAGGCUUGAUCUCGGAGGCUUCUGAGAUGCAGCCACAGUUCCGCUGCCUGGAAUGAGGCAAAAGAUGCAAAAGGCUGCCCUGGGUCAGGCCGGGCCUCCUUCCCCCUCAUGUGGCUUCUCAAGUUCCGAAGUCACCUUGUGUGGGGGAAUCACCGCACCGAGAGGGACCUGGACAUGGAAGGACCUGGACCUGGAAAGACCAUUGGUGUGAAAGAGCAGAGACCUGGUCCUAGGCCAGGUUGUACUACUACGGACUGGCUUCCAAACCAUGGGUUUAUUCAUUAACCUCUUUGGAUCCUCAGUUCCCACAUCUGUGAAAUGGGAAGGCACCUGAUAGCUGAAGCUACAAAAAAGUCAAACUUACUAAAUAGUAUAAAGACAGGAGACAGCACCCAAAGCAGCCGAGACCUAGCCCACCCUGGCUGAAAGACGGUGACUCCUGUGCCGAAGCAGAGGCUGACAUGGGUGAACAGGACUGCCUGGGGCAGAGCUGUGACCGCUGGGAAACAGGUCCUACCGUAGGCGCUGGGAUAAUAGAGACCCCCUCGGAGCAGCUUAACGGAAGACUGGUGGGCUGCAAACCCAACUGCGGGAAGCCCCGCCUUAGGGUGGGAGGAACCCAAGAGCUUCUUUCGAGUGACGCUUCUUCGUUCCUCUCUCUCGUCUCUCUCGCUUCGGUCUCCCAGAUGUCUUUUCUGCUGCUGAGCAGACUGGCAGGCAGCCGGUGAUGGGGCCCUACUUGGAAGACCCCCUCCUCUGCUGGCUCCUGCGAUUCUUCAGCCUCCUCGUCAGUGUCUACAGCAGUGGGACCAAUGGUGGAGGCCCUGCUCCUGGAGUUCAGGAUUCUGGAGCUCCUGAUCCUCUGCAGGGGAUCCGAGGAGGUUCUGUGCUGUUUCCUUUGCCCAAGAAGCAAGACGCUGAGCUGGAGGAGGUCACGUGGGGCUUUGGUCCUGGGUCAGAGUACAGAGUCCUGCUGCGAGUCCGUCCUGGGAAAGCUCCCACCUGGGUCAGCCUCCAGGACAGGUACCAGCAGAGGGUCCAUGUGCCCAACAUGACGUCCCUGAAGAUUGAGAACCUGACCCCUGAGGACAGUGGGCUGUACCGGGCUCGAGUUAGCUUUACUGGAGGAGUAGAACUUACCAAGGUUUUCCACCUCACUGUCUAUGAGCCAGUGACCAUUCCCCAGAUCCUGGUCCACUCAUCAUCCAUCACACCAGGCUGGUGCAAUGUUACCAUGGAGUGCAGGACCUCAGGGGACACAGAGGACCUGAAGGUGACCUGGGAGGGCAAGGGCCUCCCCAGGGAGCUGGAGGAGAGAGUGACAUCAGGACCAACCCCCAAUUCGUGGACCCUGGCUGUGCACCUGCCCCAGAGCCAGCCCUACACCAACAUCACCUGUGUGGUCAGCAACGAAGUGGACCAGAAAACUGCCACCUUCAACCUUGGGGAAGUCUGUGUCCAUGGUUCACAUGGACAAGCCAAUGCUGUUGCCCUGCCAGGCAUCUUAGGGGCAGGGGCUACUGUGGCUACACUAUUACUGAUCCUUGGAAUUGGACUCUGCCUUUGGAAGAAGAAGAAGAAGAAGAAGAUGGAGACUGCAAGAGGAUUGCAGGAGGAGUCUAAGGACCGUGACGGUGGCAUCCAAUAUGUAGAGCUGAGCCAGCAGGAUUCUCGAGAGAGCACGGACCAGGGUGAUGGUGAACGACGUCUAAAUGAAAAGGAGUCUCUUAAUACUGUCUACAGUGAGGUCCAUAAGCCAGCAAGUGUGCCCAUGAAGAUAAUUUAAUUGGAGGAGGCAGAAGAAUUGACACUCCUAGGACACCUCCAUUCUGAAUUUGAUCCCUGCAGAUACCUGCCCCUACGAGUGCUGGUCCAGCACCAGCUGCCUCUGGUCUGCAUUCCUCUGACCUUUGUGCCCUCAACUCCCUGGGCUCACGUGGCCCUGUCACUUCCUCUGUCAACUCUAUAUGCUGCCUUCCACUCAGGUUCCUCACUCCAGAAGGACUAGUGCUCUUUCUCCGUCAUUGACUCUGCUCCUGAUUCCUCUCCUUCUGAAGUUUCCCUAGGAGGAUCUCCCUACCUGUGCAUGUGUUCAUCCCCACAGCCUCUGCGCUGUGGCUGGUGUGUAUCUUUCUGAGAACAGGAGCCUGGGCGUGGGGACUGUGUGGAGGUUUCGACUACACCAUAGAGGGAGUUAGGAACUUGGAGCUGGGUGUUGAGCUGAGUGUCCAUGGAGGUGGCCUGGAUGGAUGGGUAGGAGCCUACAAAAGACGGGCCUGAGGCGUCCUUUGUAUGGCAAAAGGUGUUGGAGGGACUGUCUAGUAUACAUCAUACAUGGGGGCCAGAGCCCUUGAUCCUGAUCACCCAUACUAACCUCAGCUUCAGCUCAUGGGCCUUAAAUCCAUCUCUCGUGGAAUGUGAAGAGGAAUUUGUAUUGUCUCUGGUCCUUCCAAGCCAACUCCUUUUCAGAGAAAGACCCCAGGAACCCAAUGUUGGGACUCUGUGUUCUUCCCUGUCUGGGCCAGGGGUUCUUGUCAUUAGAAUGGUCAUGCAGGGAGUUCCUGUUUUGCAGCAGUGGAAACAAGUGCUACUGGUAUCCAUGAGGAUGCAGGAUCCAGUAUUGCUGUGAGCUGUGGUGUAGGUCGCAGAUGCGGCUUGGAUCCCACAUUGCUGUGGCUAUGGUGUAGGCUGGCAGCUAUAGCUCUGAUUUGACCCUUAGCCUGGGAAUUUCCACCUCCAUGUGCUGUGGGUGUGGCCCUAAAAAGAAAAAGAAAAAGAAUGGUAGUGCAUGUUCCCCCACCACCCCCAUGGUGAGGCUGCUAUGAGGUGUGAAGGGUGAAACUUAGGGGAAGGUCUGAACCAGCCCUCUCCUGCCUCUUCUACUGACCCUCAGACCCCACAGUCCUGCUGGCCUCAGAUCCUGGGUCAGUCUCCUCUUUGCUCACUCACAUCCCUCUGCCUGGAAUGAUGGAUCCUUUACCCUGUCUCUUAUUCCCAUCCCUGGCUGUUGAAAACCUACCAACCCACCCAAAGCCUCUCUUCAAGUCACGUGUUCCAGGGAGCCUGUCUGCUACCAAGAGUUGGAAAUGUCCUCUCCCACAUCUGACCUUCUUGAACACCAUGGACAUAACUAAGGCCCUUGCUGCUAUCGGCCAUGGACUGGUCAUGCCAGACUUGCCUAGGGCUCCCUCAAGAGGGUGUUGGGGUUUAGGAGGCAAGGACCAAGAAGACAAACACCUGUCUCUAAGCCUCCUCACAACUUCCACGGGGACUCAGCAGACUGAGACCCAGAGCACAGAGGCUGCUGAAGGUCUCACUGGUGGUGAGCCCACUUGGAAGCAAAGAGGGAUGUGAUGACCUCCCAUGACCUUGCCUGGCCCAGAGAUCUGAGGAGGGGCUUCCCCACCCCAUCUCCAGCCUCCCAUUGCCUGAGGACCUGAUACAGCCUGCACUGUGCUGUGUGGGGUCUUCUCCUCCCCCUGGGGGUUUUCAUCUCAUCAAAGCCUCUGCCUCCUGCCUUCGGUCUCAGCUCUUGGGUCAGAGAUGGGCUCGCUCUGGAACGAUGAUCUGUGGAAACUUGACUGCUGGUCUAGAUUCCUGGAUUUCUUGGUUCCCUUCCCAGCUCAGCAAGCUCAGCUGAUUCACCUCUAACUUCAGAAAGCAAAGUUCUGAGCUAAAACCUUGAGCAUGAUGAAGCAAGGCUGGGAGCCUUCUUCCCAUGGAUAAAGGAGGAUGAGAGUUUCAAUAAUAAAGCUGU